UAAAUCUACAUUUUAUGGUCAUGGUUUUAACUGCAUUCUCUCUUAUCUAUAACAGUCCCAUUCCAGAAAUCAAUGGAAACCUUUUCUUUUGUCAUGUUUUCCGGUACUAUUAUUCUGCUUUACUUCUCUAAAUACUCAAAUGCUACUGAUACAAUUAGUUUGUCUGAGUCUCUAAUUAUUGGCACUGGUAGCACCCUGGUUUCGAGAGAUGGCAGCUUCGAAUUUGGUUUCUUUAGUCCUGGAAAUUCCAGAAACCGCUAUGUGGGAAUUUGGCACAGAUAAUCCCCACAACUGUUGUUUGGGUUGCAAAUAGGCGCAUUUCAAUCAACGAUACUUCAGGGACUGGCGAUGACGAGCACAGAAAGCAGAAAAUAGGGAAAAUGAUCAGGAACAAGAUGAACAAUCAGAAGACAUGAUGGCAGUAGCUAGGAGAAGGUGGUUUUGGACUCGUUUAUUCCUUAUAUAUAUAUAUAUGCCCAUAUGCUUUUGAGAAGGAAGCUAUUUUCCAACAAGUAUUUAUUGUCCUGCUUUGUAAAUUACUUCACCAGAUGAUAAAUUAGAAAAAAAUUUCACUUUUUUGAAUUA